CGCGUAGGCGGUUUUUAAGUCUGAUGUGAAAGCCCACGGCUCAACCGUGGAGGGUCAUUGGAAACUGGAAAACUUGAGUGCAGAAGAGGAAAGUGGAAUUCCAUGUGUAGCGGUGAAAUGCGCAGAGAUAUGGAGGAACACCAGUGGCGAAGGCGACUUUCUGGUCUGUAACUGACGCUGAUGUGCGAAAGCGUGGGGAUCAAACA
rnacentral:rRNA from 1 species